AUAAUCUUCCUUGUUUCUCUCCACCUCUUUCUCGAAAAAAAACUGCUCCCUCCCCUUGCCCGCUUACCUCUCCCACGGCCUCGUCGCCCGUAGGUUCUCCGCCGCCACCCCACGCGACGCAGGGGAUCUCCCAUCCCACACGACAAGCGCGCGCCAGAGGACUGAAAGGGCGACCACCAUCUCCUCUCCCUUGCCCCUCUCCGACUCACCCACCGCCGCUUCCUCUCGCCCACCCCCGGCAGGCCUCACACUUACAGAUGCCCUCCUCGAAGGAGGCGGCCGCCUCAACUGUCUUCGGGCCCGGUGGGGGCGCGGGGAGUAGGCUGCUCUUGGUGCUCGACCGGGCGCUCACCGACGAGGAGCAGGACUUCCGCGAGCUCAGUGCUCCAGAUGCUCGGCCUCCCCCGUCCGCUCAGUGCUCCAGAUGCUCGGACGCGCCCCUAACACGGGAUCGUCAACUCCUCUCGCGCCCUCAUUGCAGCCAUCGCCGAUGAUGACGGUGCUCAUCACAUCAGCGAGGAGGACCUCGAGGGUUGCCGCAUGGCGGUGCAGGCGUGCAACUGCUCCUCGAUCCCGUGGGACGACUGCUGGGUCGGUAACUUGCCGCAGCGCUGGUAGCGGACGAGGCCACACCGCGCGCUGGCCUGGUGCUGUGGUUGGGCUUGGAUCUAGCGAGAUUGUUGUGGAUGUGUCUUGUGCCUCCUGUGGCCAGAACCCUCUCCCCGAUUUUGAUUCCUCCUCCGGCCAGUGGCCCCUGCCCACGCACUACCCAGGCGGGAGGGCCAUAGAAGAGGGGGGGGGGGGUCUCUUCUUCUUCCGUCCAAUCCACACACAUUGCAGUCCUUCUCUUCUUCUUCCGUCCGAUCCACACACAUCACAGUCCACCAAGGACUUGCUCAGGGAAAAGGAAGCUUCGGUGUCGCCAGUGGAUGGACAAUUGAUGGUGAGCAUUCCAGAUUUGAUGCACCUCUACAGUGUCGUCGAGGAGAAGGAUGGCAACCCAGGCCUGCAUACACAUGAUGGAGCACACCGUGCCAGCGAUGUGGUACCAUGCCUGGAGAAGAGAUCCUGAGGAGGAGAGGAUAUUGGAUCUGAGUACGUGAGGGAGGAGCAAAAGGAUAUUCAGAUUUCUGUUGCUCCUGAUGGUAUUAGCUAACUAAUGAAAAGUGGAUGUUAUACGGACCGACGAAACGGCUAUUUCACCUCAGGAAGUAAGUAAAGCUUGAGACAGUUGUUUCCCGGCUUGCUGCCUUGCAUUUGGGAGCUCACUGCUAGGUCAUACAAAUGGAUUCUGAUUCUGAUGUAUGACUAAAGGUGAAGAUUUAAGCGAUGCAUCAUAACUGAAGCUAUCUUGUUGAUGAUAUACGUUGUUUGCUUGUGAUACUUAAAUUUGAGUGUAUCGACAUGUUUAUUACACGUUAAAAGCUGACUUGGCACCUGACUUGUAGCAUACUGUUUAAGUGUUUACGCUAGAUGGGGUGUGUUUAGAGAAGAUAAUGUUUGCUCUUUUAAUAGUAGUAGAGAUUGUUUAACUUUAUACCAUACCAUCUCUUCAGUUGUACCUGUUCCGUUCGUUUCACAAAAGUUCGUAUGUAUUUUCGUUUAA